rnacentral:rRNA from 1 species
UACGGAGGGGGCUAGCGUUGUUCGGAAUUACUGGGCGUAAAGCGCACGUAGGCGGCUUUGCAAGUCAGAGGUGAAAGCCCGGGGCUCAACCCCGGAAUUGCCUUUGAGACUGCAUCGCUUAGAAUUGUGGAGAGGUGAGUGGAAUUCCGAGUGUAGAGGUGAAAUUCGUAGAUAUCUGGAGGAACACCGGUGGCGAAGGCGGCAUCCUGGACCGGUAUUGACGCUGAUGGCGCGAAAGCCAGGGGAGCAAACGGG